GCUAUCAUUUGAAAUUGAUUAAAGAUAGGAACAAAAGUGAGACAGAUAGCCAGACGUGGUCAGGAGAUGCUUUUGAUUCUAGGGGACACAGUGCAAAUCAUGCAUAUGGAGUCUACACAAUGUGGAACUACACAACAUCAAAGCUGGUACAUUUUGAAUUGCUUCAGGCAUGUUUCCUGACCAUUCUAAAUUCAGCAAAGACGGUCAACAGUCACUACACAAGUCUAUUGACUUGUUGUACCACUUGGAUAUGCUUUCAGAGUAAAGUGGUAAACACAAGCAGGUAAAGGACGACUGCUCUUUCAUACUAUACAUCUACAAAAUCAUCAACCAUCUGUAUGCUCUCAAAUACCUAAAGUAAAUAAGGUUAGACAAAUCAUUGUUGAUAAAACAUUGUUAAUGAGAAA